GCCCAGUGUGCGCGGCCUGCCUCGACCGGUGCCAAGACCGCGGGACACGAAAGGUUCGAGCUCGGCUGGAAGGAGCCUGCUACGCAAAGGCACAACGAAAAACGAAGGAAUACUAUGCCUCACCAUUGCCGACGGAAUGCGGCACGUUGACCGUCCCGUCACACGUGGCCUUGCCUUUGGGAAAGGGUCGUUUGCAGCAAUAAUCACCUUGCAGUCUGAAGUGAACCGGAGUAACAUCGGAUGUAAGCAGCGGGAUACCAGUUGACCCGCUGCUCAGUUUCUGUGUUUCCUCGUUCUUUUUCUUUUUUCCGUGCCACAACUGGAAGGAAUUCGAGAAAAAAAAUCAUUCGCCUGCAGAAAUCUGGGCACCGUGACUGAA